GUCACCUGAAACUGCAGCCCGGGGUCACUGAGACCCUGUGACAGUCCCCCCUUGGGCCCUCUGCACCGCCUGGGCCGGGCAGUGCUUAGUAAGAGCACUUCUUAGGAAGGCCUGUCCUUGGGGGAGGCAGCCGGAGCCCGUGUGCCUGGUGUGAACUCCCGCCAUGCCCCUGGCCAGUGUGUGGCCUGCAGAGCCCUUGGCCUGAGACCUGCCUCCCGAGUGCCAGGGUCUGGGUCCAAGGUGGCCCUGAAGGUCCCAGCUGGAGGCCUGGUCCCCAGCUGGGGCUCUCAGGAGUGGUGGACGCUAAGAGGGGAGGCCUCAGGGGAGUCUCCAGGAAGGAGGUGAGUGGCUGCCCGGGGUGUCUGUCACGGAGCAGCACUCGCCCGUGGACGGCCACCUGGCCUCUCCGCUUCCCCUGGAGAUGUGGUGCCGCUCCCGUGUGGGACGCUGACAGCUGGAGGCCACCUGCCCUCCCCUGCCCUGCCUCCCUGCGCUGGAGUGGCCGGGAAGGGUCAGCUGCCGGCUCUGCUUCUGCAGGGCCUGGGGAGGUCGCGGCUGUCCCUGAGCACCAGGAGUGGGGGCCUGGCGGGGUCUGGAUCCUGGGGACCGCCGCGGGAGGGGCAGGUGGCAGUGACCUUCCCGCCAGCAGCCUGGGUCCGCGCACACAGGGGAAGGCUGUUUCCCGCCAGCCGAGUCCUGGAAACCCCCUCCCUUCGGUCCUGCUUCUCGGUGGCCCUGCAGGGUGAUGGGAAAACCCUCAAGGUCCGCAGCGCUGGUCCCUGGAGGAAGGUCGGUCCUGAGUCACCGGACGCCUGGGCUUCCCGGGAAUUCACUGGAGGGCGUGCCAUGCCAGGCGAGGGCGGGUCCCCUGCUUCCAGCGUGCCAGGGGCGUGGCUCUGCCUGCUCACCACUCCAGCGGCCACCGCAGCUCCCUGCCUGGGCCCCUGGGCACCAGGCACUCGCCCGCCCGCCCCAGGCCACUGCCCGCCCAGCCUGUGCUCUCACCUGCCACCUGAGCCUCACCUCCUUGGUGCUGACGGUGGCCUUUUAAAUCCAGCUCGCCCACAAGGGCAACUUCGCUGCCGGGAACAGAAACCCGUCCGCGGCUGCGCCCGUCCCAGGCUGCCCUAGAGUGAGCACCAGCGGUGGCUCCAGGUGACAGGAACUUGCUCUCUCUCAGCGCUGGGGCCAGAAGUGCAGGCUCAGGGUCAGCAGGGCCCACCCUCUGCAGGCUGCGGGGACCGUUCCUGGCCUCUCAGCCCCGGUGGCUUUGGCAACCCCGGGCGUCCCUGCGAGUGAGUCGCUCCCGUCUCUGCUGGCCCGGCCUCCUGGCUCACCCCCUCGGCCAUCUCUGAGGACCCUGGCCUCGGACCUAGGCCCACCCUGAUCCAGGUGACCUCACCUCAAGCUCCUUGACCUAGUGACAGCUGUAAAGACCCUUCUCCAAAUAAAGCACACUCACCGGCACCAGGGCUUGGGGUGGACGCUCCUUUAGGAGGCUCCCCGUUCGGCCAUGACACU